UACGUAGGGACCAAGCGUUGUCCGGAAUCAUUGGGCGUAAAGAGCGUGUAGGCGGCUUGUUAAGUCUUGCGUGAAAUCUCGGGGCUCAACCCCGAGCGGUCGUGAGAAACUGGCAGGCUAGAGUGCGGGAGAGGAGAGUGGAAUUCCUGGUGUAGCGGUGAAAUGCGCAGAUAUCAGGAGGAACACCGGUGGCGAAGGCGGGUCUCUGGGCCGAUACUGACGCUGAGGAGCGAAAGCGUGGGGAGCGAACAGG
rnacentral:rRNA from 1 species